rnacentral:siRNA from 1 species
CGGAAGCGUCGUUCGGACCGCC